rnacentral:misc_RNA from 1 species
GAUGAAGAACGUAGCGAAAUGCGAUACUUGGUGUGAAUUGCAGAAUCCCGUGAACCAUCGAGUCUUUGAACGCAAGUUGCGCCCGAAGCCUCGGCUAAGGGCACGUCUGCCUGGGCGUCACGCAUCGCGUCUCCCCCAAACCGCCAAGGCGGAGGGGAAGGAAGAUGGCUUCCCGUGCCUCACCCGGGCGCGGUUGGCCUAAAUUUGGAGCCCGCGGCACUUAGCUCUCGCGGCGAUAGGUGGUGAACAAGGCCUUGGCCGUGCAAACAACCCGCUGCGAAGCUCUAUGUCACGUGCGCUCGUCGGACCCUUUGAAGUUGCCUUUGGUGACUUAAAACCUUUGCGACCCCAGGUCAGGCGGGGCUACCCGCUGAAUUUAAGCAUAUCAAUAAGCGGAGA